CCCUUAGAUGUCCUGGGCCGCACGCGCGCUACACUGAUGCAUUCAACGAGUUUUACCUUGGCCGAGAGGCCUGGGCAAUCUUUUAAACCUGCAUCGUGAUAGGGAUAGAUUAUUGCAAUUAUUAAUCUUGAACGAGGAAUGCCUAGUAAACGCAAGUCAUCAGCUUGCAUUGAUUACGUCCCUGCCCUUUGUACACACCGCCCGUCGCUCCUACCGAUUGAAUGAUCCGAUGAAUACCAUGGAUUGAGAGUACGAAUAGGUUCGCUUAUUUCUGCUGCUCGAGAAGUGGAGUAAAUCUUAUCAUUUAGAGGAAGGAGAAGUCGUAACA
rnacentral:rRNA from 1 species